GAAACGUGCUGGGAUGGCAAGAUGCCAAUUCUACAGAGUUUGACCCUACGACCAGUCAUCCCGUGGGAAACUCUAUGGAGACGCAGACUACUUGGAAGAGAGGCACCGCCACCGAUUUGAGGUGAGGAUUCCAGCUUGCUGGUACUCUGGAAAGAUAGUGAGCUGAGAGACCAGCAGAAUUAUUUUUCAUGCCUCAACAGGUGAAUCCAGUCUGGAAAAAGUGUUUGGAAGAACAAGGCUUGAAGUUUGUUGGCCAAGAUGUUGAAGGAGAGAGAAUGGAAAUUGUGGAGUUAGAAGAUCAUCCCUUUUUUGUUGGGGUUCAGUACCACCCUGAGUUCCUGUCCAGACCUAUCAAGCCCUCCCCACCAUACUUUGGCCUCCUCCUGGCCUCUGUGGGGCGGCUCUCACAUUACCUCCAGAAAGGCUGCAGGCUCUCACCCAGGGACACCUAUAGUGACAGGAGUGGAAGCAGCUCCCCUGACUCUGAAAUCACCGAACUGAAGUUUCCAUCAAUAAAUCAUGACUGAUCUUGUAGC
rnacentral:sRNA from 1 species